rnacentral:tRNA from 1 species
GCGGGUGUGGUUCAAUGGUAGAACUCCAGCCUUCCAAGCUGGAAGCGCGGGUUCGAUUCCCGCCACCCGCUCCA